rnacentral:rRNA from 1 species
UAUGGCGACCGGCGCACGGGUGAGUAACACGUAUCCAACCUGCCGAUGACUCGGGGAUAGCCUUUCGAAAGAAAGAUUAAUACCCGAUGGCAUAGUUCUUCCGCAUGGUAGAACUAUUAAAGAAUUUCGGUCAUCGAUGGGGAUGCGUUCCAUUAGGUUGUUGGCGGGGUAACGGCCCACCAAGACUACGAUGGAUAGGGGUUCUGAGAGGAAGGUCCCCCACAUUGGAACUGAGACACGGUCCAA